GCAGGGGCUGAGGAAGGAAUGGUCGGGCUGGGGCUACAGAGAGGGGUACAGGGAGGGAGGAAGGGCCACGCAGCAAGGAGAAUAAAACUGAACUGUCUUCCUGUCGUCUGGAGAGAGGUACGAUUGCUCUUUGCGAAUACGACACGCCGGCUUUUGCAUGGUAUCGCCCAUUUGAAAGCGUUGUCCGGCUUGGCGUCCGUUUCGUUUGCGUUAUUAUGUAAUGUUACGUGCGAAUAGCGUGUAUAUGGCACGCCGGUAAAAGGCUGUUGCACUAUUAAAGAAAAUUGCCCUCUCGCGGUGGUGAAUAGGAAGCGUCAUACAUUCUUCGAUACGGUCAUCGAUCUGCUAUUCGAUCUAAGAACGUAAACUCUGCUAUGUAUAGUACUUUAGAAAUUUUUUAUAUAUUAAUAUUAAAAGAAUAGUAUAAAUUGAAGAGAAAAAAACAGGAAGGAGAGGAUGAAGAAGAGAAAGGAAGAAAUAAAAGAGGAAAGAAGGUCCACGACCGGAUCUUAUAAUUACGCUAAUUAGGCAGUAACGUGUAAAAAGAGCGGCGCGAGUAUUUAUCACAAGGUAUCGUGGAAGGUAUACGGAGGUCGGCAAAGGAGGACGUCGUACGACAGAAUACGACAGGAAAGGCUAUAAUACAAUUUUGCCGCAAGCAUCAGAAGUAACAGCAGCAGCCACGGCGGUAAGCAAGCGAACA
rnacentral:lncRNA from 1 species